CACGUAGGGCGCGAGCGUUGUCCGGAAUUAUUGGGCGUAAAGAGCUCGUAGGCGGCCUGUUGCGUCCGCUGUGAAAGCCCGGGGCUUAACCCCGGGUCUGCAGUGGAUACGGGCAGGCUAGAGGUAGGUAGGGGAGAAUGGAAUUCCCGGUGUAGCGGUGAAAUGCGCAGAUAUCGGGAGGAACACCGGUGGCGAAGGCGGUUCUCUGGGCCUUACCUGACGCUGAGACACGAAAGCGUGGGUAGCAAACAGG
rnacentral:rRNA from 1 species